CUCUAGGAACAGAUAAAUAGCAGCUCAACCUUUCCAUAUCAUAUCCGUUAACGACUCAGACUUUAGAUCAAGUACUCUUCCCACAAGUUUAGGUUUAGAGCAGGUUUAAAUUAUAACAGUUAUGCCUAAACUUGAGAGAGAUUUCAAUUUUAAGAACUAGUCAUGGCAAUGCAACUAUUCAUCAUUUCCAUGUGAGAGUUUAUCAUGAGGGUUCAUAGCAAACUUUAUUUAUUUAUUUAUUUAGCAAACUAAGCAAAGAUAUAUAUAUAAAAGCAAAAAAUCUUUAUUUGGGUUUUCAUGAUUAUGCAUCUUUUUAUUAUUUGAGUAAAGUAUAAACGCGAGUAGAAACACUUAGCUGGAUAAAUGGGGGUGCUCUCCCCCAAGCUGGAUUUUGACGUAAUUUCUUCAGAUGUAGCUAGCAGGUGGCGAAUGUGUAUUUGAAUGUCAGCAGCACCCUGACAGCGAUUAGGAUGUCCUCCGUCUGCUAGUCUUCUUUGAUCCUUGAAUUCUGUGGAGCUCAAAUAGACAACAAAGCUUUGUGGAACUGAUUAGGUGUUAGCAUAAAUAUCUAGCCUUUAUCAUGUUGAGCCUCCUCAAUAAAUGUUAUUUAUUUAGCAGGAUCAUGUACUUAUUAUUUUUAUAUUUUUUUAUAAGAUGAAAACAUAUUUAUUUUAUGCCACCAGAGUGAAUGUACCUAUGGGUUUUAUGCCAUGAGCAUACUCACAUGGGGCUUACUAUUUUUUAACAUUUUAUUUUCUUUUCGAGAUGAUAUGAACCUGAUUAACUAAGCAAACUAUUUUAAAUAGGAAAAAGGAUAACUACCAAUUUUACAUCUUGGCAAGGCGUUCGGUGUUUUUUGAGUCCUCCGAAUGGGACUCUCCGUUUUCUCAUUCGUUCUGGGAUUUGCUGGGUGGCGUAGUCGGUGGUUCCGGCGGCGCCUCCUCUUCGUGUAUAACUAUCUUCUCUUUCUGACUCUGUGCUACGGUCUCCUCAGGACGGUUCUGUUCAAGCUGUAUGUCUUCAGACCUUACCACUUCUCCUUCGUAGUCUGCCCAUCCGUCCUUGAUGAUUUUCCUCCUCUGGUUGCGGUUGCAUCGUCUUCUUCUCAUCCUAAUUUUGAUAGUGUUGAGGAACGGUCUUCCAAGGAUGGUGGGUGGAUCGUACUCGUCUUCUCCCAUGUCAAUGACCUGAAAAUCAUCUGGACCUGAAUGUAUGUUCGUUGUAGGGGCAUGGUUCCAUGCAGGAGCUGAUAAGUGACUGCGGCCAUUAUAUUGACGUCAGAUCUGGUGUCUUAGAGUGUCUUCUGAAAAGAGUAUCCGUUGAUUGUGCACUUGAUGCUUGGAACACCAGGGUCGUCUGUGUUCAUCCUUUAGGUGCAUCAUGUGAUUAGGUGUGGGCCUUGACAUCUGUACUUCUGAUACGGUGUCACCCAUGUUCUCCGUUUGCCCAGCAGUUCGAGGUGCAGCAUUAGCAGCAUCCUGCUCAGUGUGUUUGUGCUUGUAGAUCCAAGUUCUUCACUUGGUGGAGUAUGGGAGUUGUAAAACUCCUUCAUAUUUUGCUUGAAGUGUACCUGCUCAUAGAGACAAUGUAGAGAUCAAGUGCAUGGGCCCUGUUGGUGGAAAACACCAACAGAACCAAAAGUAUAUUUAUUCUUCUCUAUCCUUGAGCAUAGGGAGCAAGACAAAGUUGAUGGGUGAUAAUUUCAUGAGUGUAGCAUUUAAAACAUUUGUCAAAUCAGAUUGCUCAACCUUAUGAAAAAGUAAUCUAUCUAUGUAUAUGUCUUUUUCUUUAUAUCUUCCCAAAGAUUGAAUGUGCAACAUUUUAGCUCAUAUGAUUAGGAGUGU
rnacentral:lncRNA from 1 species